rnacentral:rRNA from 1 species
AUGAACGCUGGCGGCGUGCCUAAUACAUGCAAGUCGAGCGAACGGACGAGAAGCUUGCUUCUCUGAUGUUAGCGGCGGACGGGUGAGUAACACGUGGAUAACCUACCUAUAAGACUGGGAUAACUUCGGGAAACCGGAGCUAAUACCGGAUGAUAUUUUGAACCGCAUGGUUCAAAAGUGAAAGACGGUCUUGCUGUCACUUAUAGAUGGAUCCGCGCUGCAUUAGCUAGUUGGUAAGGUAACGGCUUACCAAGGCAACGAUGCAUAGCCGACCUGAGAGGGUGAUCGGCCACACUGGAGCUGAGACACGGUCCAGACUCCUACGGGAGGCAGCAGUAGGGAAUCUUCCGCAAUGGGCGAAAGCCUGACGGAGCAACGCCGCGUGAGUGAUGAAGGUCUUCGGAUCGUAAAACUCUGUUAUUAGGGAAGAACAAAUGUGUAAGUAACUAUGCACGUCUUGACGGUACCUAAUCAGAAAGCCACGGCUAACUACGUG